AUAAUGAUUACUAGAUCAUAUGGCAUGAGUGUGUUUAGUUUUGAAAGAAACCAUCAAAUUGUCUUACAAAGUAACUGUGCCAUUUGACAUUCCCUCUAGCAAU
rnacentral:pre_miRNA from 1 species